rnacentral:misc_RNA from 1 species
GAUGAAGAACGCAGCGAAAUGCGAUAAGUAGUGUGAAUUGCAGAAUUCAGUGAAUCAUCGAAUCUUUGAACGCACAUUGCGCCCCUUGGUAUUCCAUGGGGCAUGCCUGUUCGAGCGUCAUUUGUACAUUCAAGCUCUGCUUGGUGUUGGGUGUUUGUCUCGCCUCUGCGUGUAGACUCGCCUCAAAACAAUUGGCAGCCGGCGUAUUGAUUUCGGAGCGCAGUACAUCUCGCGCUUUGCACUCAUAACGACGACGUCCAAAAGUACAUUUUUACACUCUUGACCUCGGAUCAGGUAGGGAUACCCGCUGAACUUAAGCAUAUCAAUAAGCGGAGGA